AACGAACGCUGGCGGCAGGCUUAACACAUGCAAGUCGAACGGUUGUAGCAAUACAGCAGUGGCAGACGGGUGAGUAACACGUGGGAACCUUCCUAGGGGUACGGAACAACUCAGGGAAACUUGAGCUAAUACCGUAUACGUCCGUGAGGAGAAAGAUUUAUCGCCCUUAGACGGGCCCGCGUAGGAUUAGGUAGUUGGUGGGGUAAUGGCCUACCAAGCCUACGAUCCUUAGCUGAUCUGAGAGGAUGAUCAGCCACACUGGGACUGAGACACGGCCCAGACUCCUACGGGAGGCAGCAGUGGGGAAUCGUUGGACAAUGGGCGCAAGCCUGAUCCAGCCAUGCCGCGUGAGUGAAGAAGGCC
rnacentral:rRNA from 1 species